rnacentral:rRNA from 1 species
AUGAAGGACGUUACUAACGACGAUAUGCUUUGGGGAGCUGUAAGUAAGCUUUGAUCCAGAGAUUUCCGAAUGGGGAAACCCAGCAUGAGUUAUGUCAUGUUAUCGAUAUGUGAAUACAUAGCAUAUCAGAAGGCACACCCGGAGAACUGAAACAUCUUAGUACCCGGAGGAAGAGAAAGAAAAUUCGAUUCCCUUAGUAGCGGCGAGCGAAACGGGAAGAGCCCAAACCAACAAGCUUGCUUGUUGGGGUUGUAGGACACUCUAUACGGAGUUACAAAGGACGACAUUAGACGAAUCAUCUGGAAAGAUGAAUCAAAGAAGGUAAUAAUCCUGUAGUCGAAAAUGUUGUCUCUCUUGAGUGGAUCCUGAGUACGACGGAGCACGUGAAAUUCCGUCGGAAUCUGGGAGGACCAUCUCCUAAGGCUAAAUACUCUCUAGUGACCGAUAGUGAACCAGUACCGUGAGGGAAAGGUGAAAAGCACCCCGGAAGGGGAGUGAAAUAGAACCUGAAACCGUGUGCUUACAAGUAGUCAGAGCCCGUUAAUGGGUGAUGGCGUGCCUUUUGUAGAAUGAACCGGCGAGUUACGAUUUGAUGCAAGGUUAAGCAGUAAAUGUGGAGCCGUAGCGAAAGCGAGUCUGAAUAGGGCGUUUAGUAUUUGGUCGUAGACCCGAAACCAGGUGAUCUACCCUUGGUCAGGUUGAAGUUCAGGUAACACUGAAUGGAGGACCGAACCGACUUACGUUGAAAAGUGAGCGGAUGAACUGAGGGUAGCGGAGAAAUUCCAAUCGAACCUGGAGAUAGCUGGUUCUCUCCGAAAUAGCUUUAGGGCUAGCCUCAAGUGAUGAUUAUUGGAGGUAGAGCACUGUUUGGACGAGGGGCCCCUCUCGGGUUACCGAAUUCAGACAAACUCCGAAUGCCAAUUAAUUUAACUUGGGAGUCAGAACAUGGGUGAUAAGGUCCGUGUUCGAAAGGGAAACAGCCCAGACCACCAGCUAAGGUCCCAAAAUAUAUGUUAAGUGGAAAAGGAUGUGGCGUUGCCCAGACAACUAGGAUGUUGGCUUAGAAGCAGCCAUCAUUUAAAGAGUGCGUAAUAGCUCACUAGUCGAGUGACACUGCGCCGAAAAUGUACCGGGGCUAAACAUAUUG